AGUGAACGCUGGCGGCGUGCUUAACACAUGCACGUCGAACGAGAACGGAUUAUAGCUUGCUAUAAUUGUCAGCUAAGUGGCGCACGGGUGAGUAAUGUAUAGGUAAUAUGCCUCUUACUAAGGGAUAACAAAUGGAAACGUUUGCUAAUACCUUAUACUCCUUAUUAACAGAAGUUAAUAAGGUAAAGAUUUAUUGGUAAGAGAUUAGCCUGUAUUGUAUCAGUUAGUUGGUGGGGUAAUGGCUUACCAAGACUAUGACACAUAACUGGUUUGAGAGGAUGAUCAGUCACACUGGAACUGAGACACGGUCCAGACUCCUACGGGAGGCAGCAGUGGGGAAUAUUGCACAAUGGACGAAAGUCUGAUGCAGCAACGCCGCGUGGAGGAUGACACAUUUCGGUGCGUAAACUCCUUUUAUAUGAGAAGAUAAUGACGGUAUUAUAUGAAUAAGCACCGGCUAACUCCGUGCCAGCCGCCGCAGUAA
rnacentral:rRNA from 1 species